GUGAAUCAUCGAAUCUUUGAACGCAUAUUGCACCCUCUGGUAUUCCGGAGAGUAUGCCUGUUUGAGGGUCAUUUAAAAGUAUAUUUUACCCAUUUUUUUUGGUUAAUGGAAAUGUGUUUUCCGGGUUUAUAGCGUUAGCUUGAAAUAAAUGGUAGUCUCAUUUUAGUCGAGACGCGUAAUAAUUUUAUUUCGCGAUAUCUUUAUUAUGUGACUAUCCCGUUUUGAUGCAUACAAAUUUUGUUUUUAUGCGUUUAAUAAA
rnacentral:misc_RNA from 1 species